UCAAGCUACCAAGGGCACACGGUGGAUGCCUUGGCGCUGGGAGCCGAUGAAGGACGUGGCAAGCUGCGAUAAGCCUCGGCGAGCUGCAAGCAAGCGUUUGAACCGGGGAUUUCCGAAUGGGGAAACCCGCCGCGGGGAAUGCCGCGGCAUCCAUGCCUGAACACAUAGGGCAUGGAAGGGAACCGGGGGAACUGAAACAUCUAAGUACCCCGAGGAAAAGAGACAAUACUGCAUUCCGUAAGUAGCGGCGAGCGAAAGCGGAGGAGCCUAAACCCUGUGCGCGUGAUAGCCUGCAGGCGUUGCGCACGGGGGGUUGUAGGAGCGAACGAGGAUCUCUGCAGGGAUCCAUCCGACUCGAAGGUCUUUAGCCGAACGGCCUGGAACGGCCGGCCACAGGGGGUGAAAGCCCCGUAGGCGAAAGGGAUCUUCGGCGGAUGGCCGCCGCCUAAGUACCGCGGGACACGAGAAAUCCCGCGGGAAUCCGGGAGGACCACCUCCCAAGGCUAAAUACUACCCAGCGACCGAUAGUGAACUAGUACCGUGAGGGAAAGGUGAAAAGCACCCCGGGAGGGGAGUGAAAUAGUACCUGAAACCGUGUUGCCUACAAACAGUGGGAGGGCUAUGGCGCGAGCCAGCCUGACCGCGUACUUUUUGUAGAACGGACCGGCGACUUACGGUGUGCGGCAAGGUUAAGCGGAUAACGCGGAGCCGAAGCGAAAGCGAGUCUUAAGAGGGCGAAUUAGUCGUACGCUGUAGACCCGAAACCGGGCGAUCUAUCCAUGGCCAGGGUGAAGCGGAAGUAACGUUCCGUGGAGGCCCGAACCCAUUAGUGUUGAAAAACUAUGGGAUGAGCUGUGGAUAGGGGUGAAAAGCCAAUCGAGCUCGGAGAUAGCUGGUUCUCCCCGAAAUAGCUUUAGGGCUAGCCUCGGGAAUAGGCUUGCGGAGGUAGAGCACUGAUCGGGCAAGGGGCCCUGAAAGGUUACCGACCCCUUUCAAACUCCGAAUGCCGCAAGCUGGUGCCCGGGAGUCAGACUGUGGGGGCUAAGCUUCAUAGUCGAGAGGGAAACAGCCCAGACCGCCGGCUAAGGUCCCAAAUUGACAGCUAAGUGGUUAAGGAUGUGGAACUGCCCAGACAACCAGGAUGUUGGCUUAGAAGCAGCCAUACAUUUAAAGAGUGCGUAAUAGCUCACUGGUCGAGUGGGUCUGCGCCGAAAAUGUCCGGGGCUCAAGCUGUCAACCGAAGCCGCGGAACUCUAAUCUAGGGUUGGUAGGGGAGCGUUGCCUGCUGGUUGAAGCACGACCGGAAGGACGUGUGGACGGCAGGGAAGUGAGAAUGCCGGUAUGAGUAGCGAAAAGGCAGGUGAGAAUCCUGCCCGCCGGAAGCCUAAGGUUUCCUGAGGAAGGUUCGUCCUCUCAGGGUAAGCCGGGGCCUAAGCCGAGGCCGAAGGGCGUAGGCGAUGGAUAACGGGUUGAAAUUCCCGUGCCGCCUCGGUCGCGCUUGAGCGAAGCGGGGACGCAGAAGGGUAGGCACAGCAGGCUGAUGGAAUAGCCUGUCCAAGCGAGUAGGGCGCCGCGUAGGCAAAUCCGCGCGGCGGAAAGCCCAAGACGCGAGUGGGUGCGGAUACGUCCGCUGAACUGGCCGAUCCCAUGCUGCCAAGAAAAGCCGCUAGCGAGCGACCAGGCGCCCGUACCGCAAACCGACACAGGUAGGCGAGGAGAGGAUCCUAAGGCGCGCGAGAGAACCCUCGUUAAGGAACUCGGCAAAAUGGCCCCGUAACUUAGGGAUAAGGGGCGCCCCGGUAGGGUGAAGGGCAACACGCCCGUAGCCUGAGGGGGCCGCAGUGAAACGGCCCGAGCGACUGUUUACCACAAACACAGGUCUCUGCUAAGUCGCAAGACGAAGUAUAGGGGCUGACGCCUGCCCAGUGCCGGAAGGUUAAGGGGAGGGCUUAGCGCAAGCGAAGGUCUGAACCGAAGCCCCGGUGAACGGCGGCCGUAACUAUAACGGUCCUAAGGUAGCGAAAUUCCUUGUCGGGUAAGUUCCGACCUGCACGAAUGGCGUAACGACUUGGGCGCUGUCUCAACGAGGGACUCGGCGAAACUGUAAGUGCACGUGAAGAUACGUGCUACCCACGACUAGACGGAAAGACCCCAUGGAGCUUUACUGCAUCCUGAGAUUGGAUUUUGGCAGGGCAUGUACAGGAUAGGUGGGAGGCUUAGAAGCAACGACGCUAGUUGUUGUGGAGCCACCCUUGGGAUACCACCCUUGUUUUGCUGGAGUUCUAACCCGCGGCCGUGAUCCGGCCGGGGGACAUUCUCAGGUGGGCAGUUUGACUGGGGCGGUCGCCUCCUAAAAGGUAACGGAGGCGCCCCAAGGUUCCCUCAGCGCGGUUAGAAAUCGCGCGCAGAGUGCAAAGGCAGAAGGGAGCUUGACUGCGAGACGUACAUGUCGAGCAGGGACGAAAGUCGGGCUUAGCGAUCAGGUGGUUCCGAGUGGAAGGGCCAUCGCUCAACGGAUAAAAGCUACCCUGGGGAUAACAGGCUUAUCUCUCCCAAGAGUCCAUAUCGACGGGGAGGUUUGGCACCUCGAUGUCGGCUCGUCGCAUCCUGGAGCUGAAGUAGGUUCCAAGGGUUGGGCUGUUCGCCCAUUAAAGCGGCACGCGAGCUGGGUUCAGAACGUCGUGAGACAGUUCGGUCCCUAUCUGUCGUGGGCGUAGGAGAUUUGAGGGGGUCGGUCCCUAGUACGAGAGGACCGGGACGGACGCACCUCCGGUGGACCGGUUGUCGCGCCAGCGGCAUAGCCGGGUAGCCGCGUGCGGUUUGGAUAAGCGCUGAAAGCAUCUAAGCGCGAAGCCAUCCCCAAGAUGAGAUCUCCCACAGGGUAACCUGGUAAGACUCCUUGAAGAACACGAGGUUGAUAGGCCGGAAGUGUAAGCGCGGCAACGCGCUGAGCGGACCGGUACUAAUAGGUCGAGGGCUUGACCUU
rnacentral:rRNA from 1 species